rnacentral:rRNA from 1 species
UGGGGAAUAUUGGACAAUGGGGGCAACCCUGAUCCAGCAAUGCCGCGUGUGUGAAGAAGGUCUUCGGAUUGUAAAGCACUUUCGACGGGGACGAUGAUGACGGUACCCGUAGAAGAAGCCCCGGCUAACUUCGUGCCAGCAGCCGCGGUAAUACGAAGGGGGCUAGCGUUGCUCGGAAUGACUGGGCGUAAAGGGCGUGUAGGCGGUUUACACAGUCAGAUGUGAAAUCCCCGGGCUUAACCUGGGAGCUGCAUUUGAUACGUGUAGACUAGAGUGUGAGAGAGGGUUGUGGAAUUCCCAGUGUAGAGGUGAAAUUCGUAGAUAUUGGGAAGAACACCGGUGGCGAAGGCGGCAACCUGGCUCAUGACUGACGCUGAGGCGCGAAAGCGUGGGGAGCAAACAGGAUUAGAUACCCUGGUAGUCCACGCUGUAAACGAUGUGUGCUAGAUGUUGGGUAAC